rnacentral:lncRNA from 1 species
UGAGCAAGGAUGUGAGCUGAUGUGUUUAUUUCUCAUUAGGCUAAACACCAGCCACGAAUAACAAGUCGGCCAGCCAUCUCAAGAAUGCCUCAACAAAUAGUUCCCAACUCUGAUCUGCAGUAUUCUUUGCUACAGAGUAAGUCCACUAUCUUCUUACAAUCUGAUUCAAUACAUAAAGGACCAUAUCUCACAGAAGCAGCCCAUGCGGUUUUUAUUGGCUGGUUGAAAUAGCUCUUGUUUAUUUAAUUUUUAUUUAUGUAGUCAUAUUAAU